ACUUGACUCGUUGCCGCUUUGGCGUACACUUGGUGUACACUUGGUGAACCGAUCGACGUUUCGCACACUGCAUUUGUUUCUCUUUUUCUCUCUAUCUCUCUUUCGCUUCGCUUCAUAUUACAUGUAUAUUUCUUGUUGCAUAUUUCUCGGAUUUCUUUUCCAAGUAAAACGACUUUAUUUUUUUCUUUCCAUUUGGUAUCACUCUUCCCUUUUCUUUAUAUUUCGUUUUAGAACAUGUUUUCUUAACCGGGCGCGCCGCGGCACGCCGGGAGUGCCGUGAAAUUUCGUUUUUCUGAAAAAUCAUUGUUAAUGCAGUUCUUUUUUUCUAUUAUCGACCUUUUUGUAUUCCUCAUUUAGCAUCUCAACCAUAAGACAGUGCAACUGCCGCAUUUUUUUCUAUUAAGUGGUUAGCCUUUUAUCCACUUCCACCAAAAUCAGUAAGACACGUUUUGCGGCACGGAGUGCCGCGCGCGCCUCGGAACGGGAAUAGAGAGAGAUAUCCCCGUAGAGAGGCUCACAGUCGCCCUUUUCGCAUCGCAUCGCAUCGUAUCGCAUUCGCCACGAGUGAUAGUUAUGCGACGUGUGUUAUGGCGGUCUGCCUACCCACGCGAAUUGGGUCAUCGGAUGUUACGAGGAACAUCUCGCCCGAUGAAACGCGUUGCGGACGUCGUCGUGUCAUCGCGAGACGCCCGCUUAUUUAUGAUGAGAUUGUGGAAACGCUAAGAAUUCACUGUCGGACAUGGACAGCCUUCCAAUGAGGAAGUCAUAGGCCAAGCUGACAAUCUUCUCGACAAUACUCGUAUUACCAUAAAGAAAGAAACUCAACGAUGAUGGCCGCGGCUGCGGCGGCUGCGGUGAUAGCGUAGUUUUGCAUUUACAAUUAUUAUAACAGCAAGCCCAUUACCGUGAUGAUCGUGCUCGUGGCUCUGCCGGGGCUCUUCUCUUUGUCAUCGCUUCCUCCUUUCUUCGCACUUUCUUUUCAAA